rnacentral:pre_miRNA from 1 species
AAAGUACUCCUUCCGUCCGAAAAUUCUUGUCUUAGAUUUGUCUAGAUACGGAUGUAUCAAGUCACAUUUUAGUAUUAGAUACAUCCGUAUCUAGACAAAUCUAAGACAAGAAAUUUGGGACAGAGGGAGUAGUUG